rnacentral:lncRNA from 1 species
AUAGCAGCACUCACCCAAGUCUCAACGUUGCUAAUGUGCCAUUGGAAGUCCUUCUUAGAUCCGCUAACGCGCUUCAGUUCCUCCACCGAUUUGUUGAGCCGAUCUACGGUGUCUCCGACUUCUUCCAUACAGUCCUUCAAGGCCGCGCGCUCUCUCGGUUUAAGUCCACUGAACUUGGUAAGUUUCCAGACGAAAGAUCGGGUGGAUUGAGCGUGGGAGAGGCUGACGGCUAGAGCGGUUUGGACUAAUUGGCGGGGGUUUCGUUGGAUUGUGGAGGAGAAACUUGAGAGGGAUUGGACGCAAAGGUCAGGGUAAGUAGCGGCGCUGCACUUGGAU